UCGUAACAAGGUCUCCGUUGGUGAACCAGCGGAGGGAUCAUUACAGAGUUGCAAAACUCCCUAAACCAUUGUGAACGUUACCUAUACCGUUGCUUCGGCGGGCGGCCCCGGGGUUUACCCCCCGGGCGCCCCUGGGCCCCACCGCGGGCGCCCGCCGGAGGUCACCAAACUCUUGAUAAUUUAUGGCCUCUCUGAGUCUUCUGUACUGAAUAAGUCAAAACUUUCAACAACGGAUCUCUUGGUUCUGGCAUCGAUGAAGAACGCAGCGAAAUGCGAUAAGUAAUGUGAAUUGCAGAAUUCAGUGAAUCAUCGAAUCUUUGAACGCACAUUGCGCCCGCCAGCAUUCUGGCGGGCAUGCCUGUUCGAGCGUCAUUUCAACCAUCAAGCCCCCGGGCUUGUGUUGGGGACCUGCGGCUGCCGCAGGCCCUGAAAAGCAGUGGCGGGCUCGCUGUCGCACCGAGCGUAGUAGCAUACAUCUCGCUCUGGUCGCGCCGCGGGUUCCGGCCGUUAAACCACCUUUUAACCCAAGGUUGACCUCGGAUCAGGUAGGAAGACCCGCUGAACUUAAGCAUAUCAAUAA
rnacentral:misc_RNA from 1 species